AACGAACGCUGGCGGCGUGCCUAACACAUGCAAGUCGAGGGAGAAAGCCGCAAGGUGAGUAAACCGGCGAACGGGUGCGUAACACGUGGACAACCUACCCUGGUGACCGGGACAACUGGCCGAAAGGCUUGCUAAUACCGGAUAAGCCCACGACUCCUCCGGGAGAUGAGGGAAAAGGCGGCCUCUGUAAACAAGCUGUCACAUCAGGAUGGGUCCGCGGCCCAUCAGCUAGUUGGCGGGGUAAC
rnacentral:rRNA from 1 species